AGUGAACGCUGGCGGUAGGCCUAACACAUGCAAGUCGAACGGCAGCACAGUAAGAGCUUGCUCUUACGGGUGGCGAGUGGCGGACGGGUGAGGAAUACAUCGGAAUCUACUUUUUCGUGGGGGAUAACGUAGGGAAACUUACGCUAAUACCGCAUACGACCUACGGGUGAAAGCAGGGGAUCUUCGGGCCUUGCGCGAUUGAAUGAGCCGAUGUCGGAUUAGCUAGUUGGCGGGGUAAGGGCCCACCAAGGCGACGAUCCGUAGCUGGUCUGAGAGGAUGAUCAGCCACACUGGAACUGAGACACGGUCCAGACUCCUACGGGAGGCAGCAGUGGGGAAUAUUGGACAAUGGGCGCAAGCCUGAUCCAGCCAUACCGCGUGGGUGAAGAAGGCCUUCGGGUUAUAAAGCCCUUUUGUUGGGAAAGAAAAGCAGCAGGUUAAUACCCCGCUGUUCUGACGGUACCCAAAGAAUAAGCACCGGCUAACUUCGUG
rnacentral:rRNA from 1 species